rnacentral:rRNA from 1 species
CUCUGUCACUCCUACGGGAGGCAGCAGUGGGGAAUAUUGCACAAUGGGCGCAAGCCUGAUGCAGCCAUGCCGCGUGUAUGAAGAAGGCCUUCGGGUUGUAAAGUACUUUCAGCAGUGAGGAAGGUUCAUGCGUUAAUAGCGUAUGGAUUUGACGUUAGCUGCAGAAGAAGCACCGGCUAACUCCGUGCCAGCAGCCGCGGUAAUACGGAGGGUGCGAGCGUUAAUCGGAAUUACUGGGCGUAAAGCGCAUGCAGGUGGUUUGUUAAGUCAGAUGUGAAAGCCCGGGGCUCAACCUCGGAAUUGCAUUUGAAACUGGCAGACUAGAGUACUGUAGAGGGGGUAGAAUUUCAGGUGUAGCGGUGAAAAUGCGUAGAGAUCUGAAGGAAUACCGGUGGCGAAGGCGGCCCCCUGGACAGAUACUGACACUCAGAUGCGAAAGCGUGGGGAGCAAACAGGAUUAGAUACCCUGGUAG